UUCCAACAACAACUCAACCAGCUUCUCACCAUCCAAUACAGCAAUCCUUUGCACGGUACAUAUAGACGAGUUGAUGAGUAUCGUAGUAGAAAUGGGUUCUCGUUUGAAAAAUUCAUCAUCAGGUAAGAGAGUCUCAGCCGGCUGGUGCUUUUCCUCAUCAGUAUCUAAGUCGUUUUCAAUUUCUUCACUGCUUUCAACAACUUGUUCGCUAUCAGACUGCAUAUUCCUUGCAUGUUGCAAGGUAACAGGUUCCUGAAGAAACCAUGGUUCCUCAAUAGGCUGAUAGUUGUCAGAAAAUAACGCACUAAAAUCUGAGUUAUCUGAUGAGAAGGUUGCAAGCUCAUCACUAAAGAAAGAUUCAUCUUCUAAUUGUUUAUCAUUCAAAAGUGGUCUUGGGACUUCCACAGCAGUAUCGGAGAGAGUGCAUUCAUCUGCCAAAACACUGGAAGCAUUUGAGUUUUAAAAUAUUUUACAAAUGAUGAAAAGAGACUAAAAGAGGAGGAGCCACCCAGAUGUGUUACCUUCGCUAUGACCUGAAGUAACAGAGUUUGGUAAAAGGUGAGCAUCAUCGAUCCAAGAACCCCAUAAGUAGGAGUCUUGUGAUUGAGAGGAAACACUCAUCCAUGAAUCCCUUAUGAUUACUUUUCUGUCUCCAUUGACAGCCGAAGGCAGAGAUAAGGAAAACUGGGGCCCUGGUCUCCAGAUGACGUCAAAGGAAGAAUCAUAUCCAGCUUUUAAAAAAUAAUUGUACCUGAAACUGACACCAGAAGCAAUCUGCCAAGCACAUUAAGUUAUAAGCAUACGAGACUUGAACUAGCUAAUGAUACAUCUCUACUUACGUUCCCUAUGGCUUAAAACGAAACAAAUAAAUGGAUAUACCUUGACUUUAGCUUCCCAUUGAUUAUCAUUCCCAGUGGGAUACAUUGAAAUGGCGCAGUCUGGCUCCCAGCUACCUAAAGCGGAAGGAUCUCCAGUAACGUAGAGAUGUUCGUUGGGUGCAAGGUCAGCUUCCACGAUCCAAACAACCUCGCAUAGUCCUUUGAGAAGCCUGGCUGGAUGUUCUGAGAAUGCAGAAAACAAAAGUUACGACUCAACUGAGUUUCCAUAAACAGAAAAGGUUUGGUCUCCCAGUUACCUUGUUGUGCAGCAGUUAUAGUAGCAGACCUUGCACGGAUACGAGAGACCCCAAAGCACAAGGUGAGCCUAAACCUCUGUCCACGUUCGAUAUGAGAGAACAUAUAUCUGUUGAACGACAGAGAUUCUACUAAGUUCACGGAGAAACAAAGUACAAACACAUAGUCAAUCUUUCAGAACAGGCAUAGCUUUCAGAAAUGUGUAGCCUAGCCAUCACCAGAUGGAUAUACACAACCAGUUUCAGGUGCAAUGUUUAAACAAUCCAACAUCUUCCCGAAAACUAAAACUCUCAAUUCAUUCAAGCUCUAAGUCUCUAAAGCUUUUAAAGACCAAUAAGAAAACCCAUCUCAUAUAUCCAAAAGCUUCAAUUUUUAAUGAGAGCACAUACAAAGUGUAUGCUACAAUGCCUCAAUGAAAGAACUUACGAAGAAACAGGAAACCCAGAAGAAACAAGCCAUGAGGAGCGUGGAGAAACUGAAAAUUGAGGAAGACGGCGCCACGGAACUUCAGCGACGUCCAUGGUGUUGUUGAGUCAGUCUCCUGGAAACGGAGUUAAUCAGUAGCGCCGAGGUGGUGAAAGAGCGAGAGAGAUGAAGAAGGAGCUUGGGUUUGGUUUCAGAGAGGCCGAGCGAGAGCUAAGAAAAUGGACUCCGGGGAGGGAGGGAGGGAGGGAGGGAGGUGAAGUGAAGCAGAUGACGAUAACGGGAGGAUAUGGUCUCUCUCCUCUUUCUCUUUGGUGGCUUUGGCGCCUUGUUGUUGUGGCACGUGUCUUGGAUAUCAUUUCAUACGUGUGAAGCUCUCUAAGCCCAAUAACCAAUUAUUAUAUUUUUGGUAUCUUUCUUUCAGGUCCAUUCUCAGCCCAACUGAUAAGCUUCUCUAGUCAUUUGUCGAAUGAUUCUCCACUGGGUCAAGAUUUCAAUCUAUCUAUUUUUUUUUUAAACAAAGUGUUUUUUUUUAAUAAUAAACUCUUAUUUCACCAAAUAAAUACUAAUUUCUGCCGAUGUCAAACAAUAAAUAAAAAAUACUAAUUUCUGCCAUUAUAUUUCCAUCUUUAAUAAUAUCAGGUAAAUCAAAUCGGUUGUAUCUAAACAUAUUUAUUUAAAAUAUAUACUAUCAAUUAUAUUUUUUGUGUUAUGAAAAAUUUUAUAUGUCUAUUUUAUAAAAAUAAACACAUGUACGGAUGCACGGAUCAAGUUCUAAUUAUAUUUAGAGCUGUAGUAAGCUUUCUUUUAGGUUAUAGAAAGAGUAGUGAAUUUAGGAUAUGAUUAGCAAGGUUUUACUAUUGUUUAUUAUUAAAUAAAUUAUGUUAGAUCAUUUCCAACUCAUCAAUAUUUAGAGAAUAAACAUUCUUUUUAUUUUUUAAAACGAAUUUCCAUACAACUGCGUAUUUUGGUUGAUUUUGCAAAGAUGGACGUUUAGAUUAGUGUGACUAACAUCGAGCACGGUGUCGAUGCAUUCAUCAGCUACAUGUCUUUUUUUUUUGAUAAAUAUGUGAAUAUCAUUAUCAAAUGAAGGAGUUUUGCUUUUACAAAAAGUUUAAAACCUGAGACCAAUCUAAGACAAAAAAAAUAAAAACAGAGAGAGGCCUAAGAGAGCUAUAAUAACUAAUAUAAGCAAAGUGAUAGAAGCUUAGUCAUAUCUGAGCCAAGCUUGCAUCAGUUUCUUAAAGUUCUUGCGUUUUUGUCUCGCAAAUAUGGAGUCUCGUAUCAGUCUGUCAAUGGACUUGAAGAGGACUAGAGGCGGAGUGGUGGAGUUGUUGUGAAGGCGAUUGUUUCUCUCCUGCCAUAUUUUGUAAAUGGUGGCAUGAGAGACGAGUUUGCGAAGAAUGGAGGAGCAUAUGUUGUCCUUUAUGUCUAACCAAGAGAUGAAGGCUGUCCAAGUGUGGAAGAGUGUCUGCCUGUACCCAAGCCGAGUUGUAACGACAGACCAAAUAUGUUCACUGUAAGAGCAUCUGAGGAAAAGAUGAUCUCGCGUUUCCCGGUAAGUGUUGCAGAUGCAGCAACAAUCAGCAAUCUGAAGUCCCCAUGACACCAGACAUGAUCGAGUUGGUAAUCUGUCUAGCUGAGCGACCCACAUCAUGAAUGCAUGGCUUGGUGUUGAACCUUUAAACCAGAUAACGUCUGACCAAACUUGAGUCUGACCACGAGGACGAAGCGCUUCCCAUGUUAGCUUUGCAGAGAAAGAGUUUGUGCUCACAUCAGCAACCUGCCAGUAAUAAGAAUCUGCUGUAGGUGAGAGAGAGGGCAAUGGAAUCGAGCACAAGAAGAUUUGGAAAUCCUCUGCCUGGGCGGAGCGGGCAUGUCUGAUUCUCCAUCCUGUUUCAGAGCAAGCCGAAGCCGGAGCGGGAAUGUCAGCUACAUGUCUUUCCAAACAGGAAUCGACUCCGCCUCCCAUUCUUUUUGAUCAAACAUAACUUUUAUUCAGAGGAAAUAGUUCUACACUCCAACAGAGGAGGUAAGUACAAUAACACUAGCUAGAGCCGAUUUGAAUUCAUAUUUACAAAUGUGACUAUGAUGUCACUUUGAAUUCUACUAAAUAAAUCAAGUGAUGGUAUUUCUUGAGACUUAGCGUGUAUCCAUGUUGGUCAUGAGUUUGAUUUUUAUUAAAUUAAAUGAUCGGCCCACCUCUUAAAAUUAGUCGGAAAUGAUUUUAAAUUCGGAUCAGAUAUGUAGUAACCUGUCUACUCUAUUACACUAAAAUAAAUUCUACUAAUAUUGCAUAUGGUUGAUGGGUCGUUCGGGACCACUUAGGGACAGCAAAAUAUGGGGAUCAUCAACAUCUGGCACUAACUUCUUUAGUUUAGAAGGUGAAGGCUAAAGGUUUGACUGGUAUUAUUAGCGUAAGGCAGAGUAAAAAUAAAUAGUGGAAAAGAGUGGAAAUAAAAAUGAUGGGAAAGAGAAAAAUAAAAAGUAGUUUUACUCUAGUAAAAUGUAGAGUAAACCUGAGUUUGACAGAGUAAAAGUUCAAAAAAUAUAUUCCACCUGAUUGAAAAGAAUUUAGUGGUAUUUGGAGUAAAACUAAAAUCAGAGUAAUAAUUUACUCUAGAGAGACUUUUCAGUCACACACUAAAGCUCUCAGAUCUGUUGGAUAAAUGGUUUUUGAUAUAUAUAUAUAUAUAUAUAUAUUUAUGGUGUAAUUGAUAUAUUAUUUUUGAAGGAGAUUAAAAAUGUUAAAUGUGAAGAUGUAAGAUGUCCGCCCUGAAGUAGUCGCUGACGUGAGUAUCGUAGUAGAAAUGGGUUCUCGUUUGAAAAAUUCAUCAUCAGGUAAGAGAGUCUCAGCCGGCUGGUGCUUUUCCUCAUCAGUAUCUAAGUCGUUUUCAAUUUCUUCACUGCUUUCAACAACUUGUUCGCUAUCAGACUGCAUAUUCCUUGCAUGUUGCAAGGUAACAGGUUCCUGAAGAAACCAUGGUUCCUCAAUAGGCUGAUACUUGUCAGAAAAUAACGCACUAAAAUCUGAGUUGUCUGAUGAGAAGGUUGCAAGCUCAUCACUAAAGAAAGAUUCAUCUUCUAAUUGUUUAUCAUUCAAAAGUGGUCUUGGGACUUCCACAGCAGUGUCGGAGAAAGUGCAUUCAUCU
rnacentral:lncRNA from 1 species